UUCCGCAGGAACCGCUGGAGGCUGUACGACGGCGGGAAGCCGGUGGGGGAAGCGAACCUCAGCCGUGCGAGGGGCGCCAAGCUCCACAGCAUCGCCAGGUGGGCGGACGCGCAGCUCGCGCGGCACCCUCGGGUGAGCGUUUUCCUGAGGACCAUCUCGCCGGUGCAUUUCGUCGGCGGCGAGUGGGACACCGGGGGGAGGUGCGACAGCACCGUCCCCUUGUCCGGCGGCAGCGGGGUCUCGCGGGAUCGCUCGAGCGACCUGGCUGCGGAGCGCGCGGUGAACGGGACUCGGGUUAGGCUCCUGGAUGUCACCGCGAUCUCGCAGCUGCGCGGCGAGGGCCACAUCUCUAACCAUAGCACCAAAGUUCAGAGGGAGGUUUAUGAUUGUUUGCAUUGGUGCCUUCCGGGCAUACCGGAUACGUGGAAUGAGCUCCUUUUUGCACUGAUGCAGUAA
rnacentral:rRNA from 1 species